rnacentral:rRNA from 1 species
UACGGGGGGGCAAGCGUUGUUCGGAAUUACUGGGCGUAAAGCGCGCGUAGGCGGCCCGAUAAGUCCGCUGUGAAAGUCCAGGGCUCAACCCUGGAAUGCCGGUGGAUACUGUCGGGCUAGAGUCCGGAAGGGGCGAGUGGAAUUCCUGGUGGUAGCGGUGAAAUGCGCAGAGUAUCAAGGAGGACACCGGUGGACGAAGGG